rnacentral:rRNA from 1 species
CUGCGUACCUUUUGUAUAAUGGGUCAGCGACUUACGUUCUGUAGCGAGCUUAACCGAAUAGGGGAGGCGUAGCGAAAGCGAGUCUGAUAAGGGCGCUUUAGUUGCAGGGCGUAGACCCGAAACCAGAUGAUCUACCCAUGGCCAGGAUGAAGGUGCCGUAACAGGUACUGGAGGUCCGAACCCACUAAUGUUGAAAAAUUAGGGGAUGAGCUGUGGGUAGGGGUGAAAGGCUAAACAAAUCUGGAAAUAGCUGGUUCUCCCCGAAAGCUAUUUAGGUAGCGCCUCAUGUAUCACUCGCGGGGGUAGAGCACUGUAAUGGUUGGAGGGGUCAUUGCGAUCUACUCCGCCAUAGCAAACUCCGAAUACCGCGAAGUGCGAGCAUGGGAGACAGACGGUGGGUGCUAACGUCCAUCGUCAAGAGGGAAACAACCCAGACCGCCAGCUAAGGUCCCCAAGCCAUGGUUAAGUGGAAAACGAAGUGGGAAGGCAUAGACAGUCAGGAAGUUGGCUUAGAAGCAGCCAUCCUUCAAAGAAAGACG